UAAGCUAAGUACCUCUCCCUAACAUUAGUACUUUCUUCGUCCAACAAAGAUGUCUCAAGUUUGUUAAAAUUCGAAUGUAUCUAGACAUGACUUAGUGUAUAGAUGCAUUUAAAUUUAAUCAAAUUUGAGACAUAUUUUUGUUUGACGGAAGGAUUACUUGUGUUACUUUCUCUGGCACGCAGCAUGCAUGCAUGUAGAUUUUUAUUUCACUUCGCGCGGGGAUAAAGAAUUGCAUGCAUGCUAGAGCUGGAAGCUUCUUCUUUUUUUGCAACAGGGAGCUUUUUUUUUUGUGAGUGCUUGUUAAUUGGAGUAAGUGUCUGGUUUGGUUAAGUACGUAGCUGUUACACAUGGCGUGUGUCCUUCCGGGACAUGUUGGUCGAUUUUCGACCAGUACUGGCUUUGCAUCCUAGCUAGUAUACCAUAUUUCUACUAGUACCAAUUAAGUAUACUAACGGCUAACAAGAAUCCAUUUUACUACUAAACAAGUCUACUAAGACUGAUGAUUUUAAUUUGGAACACUGACGAACCAGACUGGUGCGCGCUUUUAAGCUUUAUGCUAAUUAAAUAUAUAUAUAUAUAUAUUUUAGUAUAUGUUCUAUGAAAUUAAGGUUCCUCUACACUUUUUGGUACAAGUGGGUUUUGCAUGUCCAUAUAUAUAUAUAUUGGUACCCAGUUUUCUUUUGGAUUGGAUCAUCGACGACGGAGAUUGGAUGAAUAAGACCAUCGUUAUGAGCUUCCAGUACAUGUGAUACUUGGCAGCCGUCGACUGGAUUGACAGUCACAUCACUGGCCAUAUAUAUGGACUGUGUCAUUCUCACGCUAGCUAGCCACCAGUAGCCAUUCAAGGUCUAACACUUGGAUAUACUAUAUAUAUAGUUGCUUCAGUUUAGUUACAUUACCAGAUAGAAUGACAAAGAAGAAGCACCUCGUGGACAAGAAAUCCCCACACGUCCACCUCCGGGUGUUGGUCAAUUUCCAAAGUGCUGCCCUCUUCUUUGUUAGUUAGUCUGACAGUAACCUAAACAGCACAACUUUUUAAAUAUGUGGGAUAGGUAACUGGCGAUCCAAACAAUAAUGAGGACCAGAUUUACCAACUGUGCAUCUCCUGGUUAGGUUAGAUACUUAAGUGAGAAGACUUGGUGGAUAGGACGCAUUUUGGUAGUUAGGUAUUAUUAAUGUUUCAUAUUUUUAUAUACCAGUUUUUGUUUUUGGUGUGUCUAUAUUGAGGUCUUGUUUGUGCAAAUUAAUAGGAUCGCAAUAGCUAUCUUUUGUGGGCGUAUGUACUCGAUAUUCUCGGCCCAUAUAGUGGCGGAAUCUUUUUUUUCGAAAAGGGGUGGAAGCCCCGGCAUCUGCAUCAAUCGAUGCACAGAAGCUAGGGUAAUCCUAACCGCAUGGAGAUAAUAUCCUAAAGGACCGCCGAUUCGGUCAUGUCCGAGUGGUUGAUCUUGGUCAAGUUGCGGUAUGUGGUGGCAUGCCAUGAGGCGGCUAUCUCCGGAGGACAUCAUGGUCAUCAUGGACAUGGAUGGAGGGAACAUCUCAGGGAGAUCCGACCCUGACAAUUUGAACAUCUCUUCAUGCUUUUCUGAGGUGAAACCCCAUGAUUCGGCCUUCAUUGGUCAAAUGUGGCAACAACGGUGAUUGUGCUCCGGAGAACAUCAAGGUAGUUUUGCGCAAACGCUUGGGUGGAGGGAACAGCUCAGGAGACAUCCGACCCUAUGAGUUGAACAAAUUUUCAUGCGUUUCUUUCGUGAUCCCAUGAUUCGACCUUCAUAGGUCCGAUCUAGCUAGAAACGACGGCGUUUGUGCGUAUCUUUUUGUUGCAGGCGUUGUCUAUAUAUAUGGACAAUGGUGUGGCCUUUAUUGAUUGAACCACACAAUAAGGGUUGGUACAAUCCAUGAUGAAAAUUCUUGAUCGAUCCGGCCACCACGGGUUGGAUCCGACCAUGUCAGCUGGCACGCAUAAUCUGUCUUGUUGAAGGCAAUGAUUUUGAAUAUGGCGAUUGAGACUUAAUGGCAAAGCUCCAGAGGAGAUUGUGGUGGUUUUGGGCGAAGGCGUGGAUGGAGGAAGCGGCUCACAGAAGAUCCAACACUGAUGAUUUGAACAUAUUUUCAUGUUUUUCUGGGGUGAGAACCCAUGAUUUCACCUUCAUAGGUCAGAUCUGCCAAUGACGAUGUUUAUGCAUCGUCUGCUUUCAUGAAGGUGUUGUCUUCGUGGCCGGCAGUCUGGAUUUUAUUGGUUGGGCCACGCAACAAGGGUUGGUACCCUCCAUGAUGAAAAUUCUCGAUCGAUCCGGACUCCAUUGGUUUGACCUGAUAAUGUCGGCUCAUGUGCAUAAUCUACCUAUUGAAGGCGAUGCUUUGGAGUAUGAAGAUGGAGGCUUAAUGGCAUAGGUGCUUGUUUUGGUAGUCAUGGUCUUGCUACUAUUGGCCACUUCAUGUACUCCGCGUAAACUAUGGUCGUCUACAUGUAGCUCUAGAAGAGACCAUGGAGAUUUUGGGUGAACACAUGGACGGAGAGAGAAGCUCACGGAAGAUUUGAUGUGGAUAAUUUGAGCAUCUUUCAUGGUUUUUGGUGUGAAAACACAUGAUCCAACCUUCAUAGGUUGGAUCUGGAAAAAUACAAUGUUUGUGCAUCGGCUCCUUUCUCAAGGCAUUGUCUUCGUGGCCGAUGGUCCGACCUUUAUUGGUUGGACCAGGCAACAAGGGUUGAUACCCUGCAUGAUGAAAAUCCUUGAUCUAGCGUUCAGAGACCUCUCUCUUCAGAGGCUGGAAGGAAAUAUGAAAAAAAAUCUUUUCAUCGAAAA